rnacentral:lncRNA from 1 species
GGUUAUUAUCUUCUUAACACUAAAGAUCAUUUAUCCCGGAGAGGAAGAAUGGGAGCAAAAUGUAAGUUCUAUCCUGUUUGUGCUUUUGUAGCAAAAUGUAAGUUCUAUCCUAUUUGUUUCGUUUCUGCACUGUGUGCAGAAUCUAGUCUACAUCUACACUACUAUUAAAAAAGCAAACAUUACUUAUCCUAAACCCACGCGGAUUAAUGUACACAGGACAAUCAGUACCCUAGGAUCUAUUCCACUUAACGGCAUCUAAGGGUCAGUUUCGCCUCCAUGGUCUGCCAACCAAUUGGAUGGCCCAGAUUCGAUGUUCUGCCACCGUACGUCCUGCCCCGCGCACGUCCGUCUUCAACCCAACCGCCCCUCGCAUCCCUUCAUUCUCGCAGGCGCAUGCGGGAGUUGUUGCCGCCGCCGAGCACUUGGGCUCCGCCGUCCUACCGCCAGACGUGGACGCACGCGGCCGUCGCCGUCGCCGCCGCCGGGCACGUGGCCUCCGUCGCCCCGCCAUCUGGCGUGGAAGCACGCAGCCAUGGUUGUCGCCGCCGCCGUCCGAUGUGGACUCUGGCCGUCGCCGCCACCGGGCACGUGGCCUCCGCCGCCCAACCUGGACACACGUGGUCGUGGCCGUUGCCGCCACGGCGGGCCUGGCCUCCGCCGGCCUGCUGCCCGGCGUGGACGCACGCGGCCGUGGCCUCCGUCGCCCAGCCGCCGGGGACGUGUACGCACGCGGGCGUGGCCGCUGUCAGGGACAUUGGCGCACACGGUAGAGAAAAGCUCCACCGCAACCUCUGUCGUAAGAAUAAGAUUAUUUCUCCUAUCUCUAAUCUACUUGCAAUCUGACAUCCAUUGCCAAUUUGGCUUUCUGGAAAUUCGGUGGCACAUGAAUUCUAAUUCUAAUUUGAACAUGGAGCACUAUUUUUUUUUCUUGUGAUAACCACCAAGCACGAACAUGCAGUGCAUGUAUAGCUCUUGCCGAGUGAAAUUUUUAUAUCAUAUUCCGUUGUCAAUUUACCCUUUGUUUGAGGACAAUAGGCUGUUCUCACAUUAGCAUACAUCUAAACUUCUAGAUUCAUUUUUAAUACAUGGUCGUUUGAAGCACCCAUUUUUGUACUGUUUUGUGUGUGUAUGUAUGGUUUUUUUUUCCUUCUUCUGAAAGAAUCAUAUAUGCUUCGAGUUGGACUGAUGGGCAAUGCUAGAAAUCACUUGGAAGUUACAGGUGUGUUGGUGCAGAUUGCUUAAAAAAACUUUCAUGUAUCACUUUAUUGUAACUCUGACAUUUAAUUUGUGUUCAAUUAUCUGUAGUACAACCUAACUAUUUGAUCUUCGGGAUGCUAAUUUGUGCACACACAGAAUAAAAACCGGUAGCGAUGACAAUGUUUCCUGUCAAGAUCAAUACCUGCUACAUAUGCAUUGUUUCCUGUGAUGAUCAAUUCCUGCUACACCUACACUAGAUCCUGUGAUGCAUUGCGAGGCCUGGAACGACUUUAAUUUUGAAUAUAUUUUUAGUUUCGGAGCUGUUUAGUCCAGCAAUGAAACACAGGUCAUUAUCCAGUCUACUCGCACGAUUGGCACACACAGCCACCGCCGACCAUCGUUAUCCGGCCAUAAUCCCGACGUCCUCCUCGCAUCACCCUGCUGUGUGCCCCUGGCCGAUUGCCUUGAUACGCCAUCCAAGCGCGCGUGGCCACAAAAGCUCUUCAUCAUGGUAAGGCGCAGGUACACGACGACAAGCUGCAGAACAACGAGCAGCUCGACAGUGGAGUACCGACGCGAUACUUGUCAUGGGGAAUCGGGAAGGUACAGUGUUGGGUACAUAAUUUUGCUUGGUCGUCACUUUUCUUUCAAAGUAUGUUCGCUGCAGAAUGAUUCUCGAUAGCUCUUCCUCUCAUGUAUGUUUUCUUUUCAGCAUAAUCAUAGCCCACUGUGUUGUAUAUUCUUUUCUCCAAUGAGGGUCAGCUGCAUGACCAAUUGAUUUCUCCCUUCUAUCUGAUUGCCAAUCUGGUGAAGACUUUCCGAUAAUUUGUAUGUCUUUUUGGACUGGUCAUUACUUUCUGAAAUCUUUAUAGGAUAUUUGAUGCCAUUUUUACUAUACAACAGACUAAAUAGGCUACGCCCUUACAUUCUCCGUGGAGAAGUUGUCCACCCAGUUGAUUGCCAUUUAUUUGUGACAUUUUUUGUACAGUUAUGAUUUAUGUGGUGUGUUUGGUAUCGUAAAAAGAUGAUUGAUGGAUUUGUACUUCUCCUUUUGUUUAUAGAGAAUGGGCCAUCCUAGCGUAUGAAUUCAUAAUUCUAUACCCGCAUGAAUUUGACAUGGUUUGAUUGAGGCGUGCGUUGCACGUGCACGCUUACUAGUGUUGUUAAAUAGGACGGGUUUGACAUUUAAAAUAAAAUAAAAUAGGACGGGUUUAAUUUACUGCUGCCAGUGAGAACAAUGAAUAUUGUGCCUCUGAUCAUUAGCGUUUUGAUGAAUAACAUCCCAACCGUUUUGGCAGUACCGCUAAAGGUUGUGCGUUUUGGCUUGGAAACUAACCUGAAUAGCCAUGGACUUUUUUUCUUUGCUAUUGUCCUGAUCCCUGC